GACGUAGGGCGCGAGCGUUGUCCGGAUUUAUUGGGCGUAAAGAGCUCGUAGGCGGCUUGUCGCGUCGAAUGUGAAAACCUGCAGCUCAACUGCAGGCUUGCAUUCGAUACGGGCAGGCUCGAGUUCGGUAGGGGAGACUGGAAUUCCUGGUGUAGCGGUGAAAAUGCGCAGAUAUCAGGAGGAACACCGGUGGCGAAGGC
rnacentral:rRNA from 1 species